GGAGGGUUAGUCUAACUGGUAAGGCAGCGGACUUGAAAUCCGCCGGGCGAAAGCCCUUGGGGGUUCGAAUCCCUUACCCUCCG
rnacentral:tRNA from 1 species